rnacentral:rRNA from 1 species
AGAACGAACGCUGGCGGCAUGCCUAACACAUGCAAGUCGAACGCCUGUAGCAAUACAGGAGUGGCGCACGGGUGAGUAACGCGUGGGAACCUACCCUGGAGUGGGGGAUAACCGAGAGAAAUUUCGGCUAAUACCGGAUACGCCCUUACGGGGAAAGAUUUAUCGCUGAAAGAUCGGCCCGCGUCUGAUUAGCUAGUUGGUGGGGUAACGGCCCACCAAGGCUACGAUCAGUAGCUGGUCUGAGAGGAUGAUCAGCCUCACUGGGACUGAGACACGGCCCAGACUCCUACGGGAGGCAGCAGUGGGGAAUAUUGGACAAUGGGCGCAAGCCUGAUCCAGCCAUGCCGCGUGGAUGAUGAAGGCCCUAGGGUUGUAAAGUCCUUUCGGCGGGGAAGAUAAUGACGGUACCCGCAGAAGAAGCCCCGGCUAACUUCGCGCCAGCAGCCGC